rnacentral:tRNA from 1 species
UAUUACUUUGGCAGAUUAGUGCAUUAAAUUUAGAAUUUAAAUUAUAAAUUUUAUAAAUUUAAGUAAUAA